UGCGUAGGCGGAUUAAUAAGUCAGUGGUGAAAUCUUUCGGCUCAACCGAGAAACUGCCAUUGAUACUGUUAAUCUUGAGUUCGGUUGAGGUAGGCGGAAUGUGUAAUGUAGCGGUGAAAUGCUUAGAUAUUACGCAGAACACCAAUUGCGUAGGCAGCUUACUAGACCGACACUGACGCUGAGGCACGAAAGCGUGGGGAGCGAACAGGAUUAGAUACCCUGGUAGUCC
rnacentral:rRNA from 1 species